UGUACUUUGUAUGGCCGCCGCACUUUCUCAGUGUCGUGUAUCUGGCUCCUGCUAUCAACUAUACCUGUCUUACCCCUGACAACACCACCAGCGUGUCAGAGGACUCGUGCAGCUACCUGAGAGUUACGGAGGAAGGGGCGGAGGUGUGGGAGGCUUGUACUGAAUGGGAGUUUGACACAUCUUUGUUCACCAGCACACUCACUUCGGAGUUCCAUUUGGUGUGCAGCCGGGCGUACCUACGGGCCACCUAUCACAGCAUUUACAGCUUUGGCUCCUUACUCUCCUGCAUACCAACGGGCUACAUUGCUGACAAGUA